UUUUGAUGGCGAAACGUAGAGAGCUCAGCUUUUAAACUUCUUUGAAAACCUUUUAUGGCAACAUUUUUACUUGGAUUUUAAAGUUUUUUUUAAAGCAGUGAUUGCUUUUUGAAAUCACAGGAGGAUUUUAACCUGCAACAGCCUAUUUUAAACAAGGAUUUUUUUUACAACAAGCCCACCAGCCAGGACACCUAAGGGUCUGUUGAAAACUGUGGACACCAAAGGAGGGCCCUGUACUCUCGGGCAAAGGCCCAAGCCACAAACGAGGCCUCCUAACCUCACCCAUCCUAGGUGUUGCGUUUUAACCCAAACCUAAC